CUCGCUGUAGUUCAAUGGAUAGAAUAAGAGUUUCCGAAGCUCUUGAUGUGGGUUCAAUUCCCGCCGGCGAGG
rnacentral:tRNA from 1 species